UAAUACAGAGGUGGCAAGCGUUGUUCGGAAUUACUGGGCGUAAAGGGCGCGUAGGCGGCCAUCUAAGUCAGACGUGAAAUCCCCCGGCUUAACCUGGGAACUGCGUCUGAUACUGGACGGCUGGAGUUUGGGAGAGGGAUGUAGAAUUCCAGGUGUAGCGGUGAAAUGCGUAGAUAUCUGGAGGAAUACCGGUGGCGAAGGCGGCAUCCUGGACCAAUACUG
rnacentral:rRNA from 1 species